AGGGUGACAGCCCCGUACACAAAAAUGCACAUACUGUGAGCUCGAUGAGUAGGGCGGGACACGUGGUAUCCUGUCUGAAUAUGGGGGGACCAUCCUCCAAGGCUAAAUACUCCUGACUGACCGAUAGUGAACCAGUACCGUGAGGGAAAGGCGAAAAGAACCCCGGCGAGGGGAGUGAAAAAGAACCUGAAACCGUGUACGUACAAGCAGUGGGAGCACGCUUAGGCGUGUGACUGCGUACCUUUUGUAUAAUGGGUCAGCGACUUAUAUUCUGUAGCAAGGUUAACCGAAUAGGGGAGCCGAAGGGAAACCGAGUCUUAACUGGGCGUUAAGUUGCAGGGUAUAGACCCGAAACCCGGUGAUCUAGCCAUGGGCAGGUUGAAGGUUGGGUAACACUAACUGGAGGACCGAACCGACUAAUGUUGAAAAAUUAGCGGAUGACUUGUGGCUGGGGGUGAAAGGCCAAUCAAACCGGGAGAUAGCUGGUUCUCCCCGAAAGCUAUUUAGGUAGCGCCUCGUGAAUUCAUCUCCGGGGGUAGAGCACUGUUUCGGCAAGGGGGUCAUCCCGACUUACCAACCCGAUGCAAACUGCGAAUACCGGAGAAUGUUAUCACGGGAGACACACGGCGGGUGCUAACGUCCGUCGUGAAGAGGGAAACAACCCAGACCGCCAGCUAAGGUCCCAAAGUCAUGGUUAAGUGGGAAACGAUGUGGGAAGGCCCAGACAGCCAGGAUGUUGGCUUAGAAGCAGCCAUCAUUUAAAGAAAGCGUAAUAGCUCACUGGUCGAGUCGGCCUGCGCGGAAGAUGUAACGGGGCUAAACCAUGCACCGAAGCUGCGGCAGCGACGCUGAUGCGUUGUUGGGUAGGGGAGCGUUCUGUAAGCCUGUGAAGGUGUGCUGUGAGGCAUGCUGGAGGUAUCAGAAGUGCGAAUGCUGACAUAAGUAACGAUAAAGCGGGUGAAAAGCCCGCUCGCCGGAAGACCAAGGGUUCCUGUCCAACGUUAAUCGGGGCAGGGUGAGUCGACCCCUAAGGCGAGGCCGAAAGGCGUAGUCGAUGGGAAACAGGUUAAUAUUCCUGUACUUGGUGUUACUGCGAAGGGGGGACGGAGAAGGCUAUGUUGGCCGGGCGACGGUUGUCCCGGUUUAAGCGUGUAGGCUGGUUUUCCAGGCAAAUCCGGAAAAUCAAGGCUGAGGCGUGAUGACGAGGCACUACGGUGCUGAAGCAACAAAUGCCCUGCUUCCAGGAAAAGCCUCUAAGCAUCAGGUAACAUCAAAUCGUACCCCAAACCGACACAGGUGGUCAGGUAGAGAAUACCAAGGCGCUUGAGAGAACUCGGGUGAAGGAACUAGGCAAAAUGGUGCCGUAACUUCGGGAGAAGGCACGCUGAUAUGUAGGUGAAGCGACUUGCUCGUGGAGCUGAAAUCAGUCGAAGAUACCAGCUGGCUGCAACUGUUUAUUAAAAACACAGCACUGUGCAAACACGAAAGUGGACGUAUACGGUGUGACGCCUGCCCGGUGCCGGAAGGUUAAUUGAUGGGGUCAGCGCAAGCGAAGCUCUUGAUCGAAGCCCCGGUAAACGGCGGCCGUAACUAUAACGGUCCUAAGGUAGCGAAAUUCCUUGUCGGGUAAGUUCCGACCUGCACGAAUGGCGUAAUGAUGGCCAGGCUGUCUCCACCCGAGACUCAGUGAAAUUGAACUCGCUGUGAAGAUGCAGUGUACCCGCGGCAAGACGGAAAGACCCCGUGAACCUUUACUAUAGCUUGACACUGAACAUUGAGCCUUGAUGUGUAGGAUAGGUGGGAGGCUUUGAAGUGUGGACGCCAGUCUGCAUGGAGCCGACCUUGAAAUACCACCCUUUAAUGUUUGAUGUUCUAACGUUGACCCGU
rnacentral:rRNA from 1 species